rnacentral:lncRNA from 1 species
AAUUCACAUAGAUAAGUAAAUUGAAUUCACAACUUAUGAAACGCAAUUAGAAGUAAUCAAAUCGUAACGCAAGCAUAAACAUGUAUUUCGAAUCCCCCUAGCCAAGGGGGGGUUUAGUUCCUCAUUAUUACAAAACAAAGAUAAACAAAUUUAAACAUUGAAAAACAAAGGGAAGAAAGCACCUAAACGUUCCAACGAUCCAUGUUGGAUAGCAAGCGCGUCCAAGGACUUUUCUCCUUCUCCUUGCCGCAACAACAAGGUUGGAAUGAUGUUGAAGGGUUGGUUAUUUGGAGGAAUGGAUGGGAAGGGGUUUAGAUAUGUAGGAGAGGCAAGGAAAGGCUUGGAGAAUGGUUAAUUUCUGGAUGAUUUGAAUGAGGUUGCUGCCAUGGUAUUUAUAGGAAGAGGAUGGACAUGUUUAAUGCAAAAAUCUGGUGGAAUGAAGUAGGUAAGGCAUGGCAAGGUGGAGAAUUGUUGGUGAGGGUAGGUAUUGAGUCAUCCACUCACAUGUCAUGGUGAGUUAAGCAUUGCAUCAUCCACUCAAAUGUCAUGGUGAGUUAAGCAUUACAUCAUCCACUCAAAUGUCAUAGUGAGAUAGGCAUUGCAUCAUCACUAAAAAAUCUGGUGGAAGUAAAACAAAGGGAAGGCCACGGCAUUGAUGAAUUUUAUGGGGUAUGCAUGGUUUUGAGUGAAGUUUUGGCCAAUCCUUCUAGAAAUUUAUCCCUUCUUGCAACUUGUAUUUGUUUCACCAGAUUUUUAGCAUGUUCCUAGCCUCUUUUGUCUUCAAAUUCGUCCAUCCAUCUUGCUCAUAUCAUAUGUAAUCCAUUCCAAGCUCAAAACUGCUCCAAAAUGCACCAAAAUGCACUUUCUUGCUACCUUAGCCCUUUGGACCUACAAACACACGAAAAUGGCUUAAAGUACUAAAAUAACUAAGAACUAAUAACGUAAAUGCAAGAAAACUAGUUAACUAAGUCGCAUAAAUAUGCGUCUAUCAAAUUCCCCCACACUUAGCUAUUGCUAGUCCUCGAGCAAAAUAAAACAAAUAAAACAUAAAAAAAAAACAAAACGAAACCAAACAAACAAAAACAACCUAAACCUUCCAACGUUUGCCUUAGGGAUUUCCAAUGCACAUGACAUGUUAAAGAUUAUCAUUCCCACAGAAUUGAGUCAAUUUAACACUUAAGCACAUACUUAAUCAUAGUCACUACUUACAAAUUCACAAUUAACCAAUUAAAACAAUGUUUUGAAUGUAGUAACAUGCCUUAGAGAAUUCCCUCAAUCCUUACAAGAUAUGCACUCUAUUUUCACUCAGAUUUUCUAACUACACACCCUAUACUAGUUAUAUGUGAGAGAAUUGAUGUAGAUAUAAAAACGAAUGCUCACAUAUAUGUAUAACAAAGAACACAAUUUCUAGAGUUAAUAAGCAUGUUGAGAUAUGAUCUCAUGAAUGGAAUGCUACUACUUAGAUGCGAGAACCAGUGACCAUAUGCUCAUACCAAGUUCAAUCUCCACAAAUUGAAACACAUAACACUCAAGAUAGAAGUCAAGGGUUGUAACGGGGCUUGGGGUAUUGGCUAACAAAGAAAGGAUAAGGAAAACAAACGUUCUUAAAGUGAUAGUAAGCAAAGUAAUGAAAUUGAGACUUAGAAUUUACUUAGAUUGCAGAAAUUAGCUUUAAAACACAAGGGGAAGAUUUAAACAACUCCUUAGGGUCGAAUUCAUUGUUUUGGACCCCUUCUUCAUCAAACAACACUUUAGAACUCUUUUUCACUUCUUUUCAACUCUUUUCGCAUUCUUUUCUGUUUUCUUUCUUUUUACCCGUGCCUAUGGCACAUAAUUCCUCAUGAAAAACACUUCCCCCACACUUGUUUUCUGCCACAAAGGAAUUCAAUUUGAAUCAUGCUUUACUACGCUUUAAGAACAAGGUUAAUGGAUGGUCCUAAUCUAAGCUAGGUGAGGGUAAUGUGGGUUACAAAGAAAAGGCUCACAAAGCUCAACGGGGUUAAAACGUACAAAACAUAAUGACAUAGGGGAUUCACGGCUUUUUGGUUAUGGUGGUGGUCACUACACAACUUUAUCUUGAAUAUGUGUUAUGCAAAUCAAUGACAUGCUUUGAAUGAAAUGGGUAUGAGUUCUAGCAUUUGGAACUAAAUGAUGAAACGCCUUCUAAGUAGUAACCAAGCAAAGAAUAAUGAGAUCAUGCAACGACUUAGAAAACAAUAAAUCACAGAUUAUUAACUCUCCAAAUAAACGUUUAGGCUCAAGUCUCACAAGGUUGUAGCGUUAGUUUGAGUUCUUUCCUUCAAGCAUGUUACAAAAACUGAUUUUUCCUUUAAGAUUGCAUGUAAAUUCAUAAGUUAUAACCACAACCAAGCAUAAACAAAGAGUAAAUCAAACUUUCAUCCAUGUUAAUCACUCUCUUUAACAGCCAUGAAAUUACAAACCAAAUCCUCAUCAUUGUGUUGGAAGGUACCCUAAGACACAAACAAACACACAAAAACAACUCUUUUUGGGUUUUGCAAAGCAAUUUUUCAAAUUUUUAUGUGAUUUUCGGAGUUAUAAGUCAGCACACACUAAAACACACCAAAACAGCCUAAAAAAACACCUAAAAACAGCAAGAAACAACAUUGGGAAGUAUGAGUGAGAAAACCUUACGAAUUUGCAUCAAAACACUUUGGUUACCCCCCCACACUUAAACCAAACAUUGUCCUCAAUGUUUCAAAGCAUAACUAACACAAAAACACAUAAACAAACAAACAAACACUAACAAACUAAAUGUGGCAGAAACUAAUUAAACAACAAAGAGAAGGGUUUAGGAACGCAAAUCUGGAAUUGGAGUGCUAUCUAGGCCUUCCUUUCUCGAAUGCAUGGGUUGCCUCCCACGAAGCGCUUUCUUUAACGUCUUCCAGCCGGACGGUACCUCCGUUUAAGCUUGACUAGGUGCCACGGCAUGGAGGGGUACAUCCUCCAUGACAUGCUCCUUGAAAUACUCAUGCAUUGGGUCUAUGUAUGGCAGUGGAUAAUGAUGGUCCCAGAUUGUGGCAUUAAGCUUCCCAAGGUGAAAGUAAAAACUCCCAUAAUCAUGGAUUCGAUUUGGUACCUGCACCACAGAAGGCAAUAACCUUUUAGUGGAAAUGGGAAUUGGAAUUAGAGGAGGAGGCUUACCAAUGCAUGUAGAUGAAGACUCAAAAGGGGCAGCAAAGGUGGUGCUCUCGGCCAGAUUUGGUAUUUUGGGUGUAAUGACAUGUUUUGUAUGCUCCACUCCAAUACCCUCUUCGAUGAUGCAUCUAGGGACAUCCUUCUUGAUUGGUGCGCAUGAAUGUUCCUUCCCCACAUGUUUAAUCACAUCUAUUGCAAAACAAGAACGAACAUCAUGAGGAUUCUUAACAUAUUCAGGAACUUUGAAUUUAAUCAAUUCAUCACCAAACUCCAUUGUUAACUCUCCCUUAGCCACAUCAAUCUUGGUUUGGGCUGUCUUCAUGAAGGGCCGCCCUAAUAGUAUCGGCAAUGGGGUAGAAUAGGGUGAAUCCUCCAUGUCAAGCAUGUAAAAGUUCGCUGGAAAAAUCAAAUUGCCCACCUGCACCAACACAUCUUCCAAAACACCCUUUGAAUAUGCAUUAGAACGAUCGGCUAAUUGAAUAAUCACACCAUCGUUUUUAAGCUCACCUAAGUUCAUAGAUGCAUAAAUAGAGUAUGGCAUAACAUUAAUCGAAGCCCCUAAGUCUAACAUGCAUUGUUCAAACUUAGUCUUGCCAAUAAUGCACGGAAUUGUAAAACUACCCGGAUCUUUGCAUUUAGGGGGUAAUUUCCUUUGUAACAUGGCAGAAACAUUCUCACUUACUUGGACCACCUCUUUGUUCGAAAUCCUUCUCCUUGAUGUACAAAGUUCUUUUAAAAAAUGAGCAUACCUCGGGACUUGCUUAAUUGCAUCAAGGAGCGGAAUAUUGACUUGAACUUUCCGAAAGGUCUCUAGAAUGUCCUUCUCGGCUUCUUCCUUUUUUGAUUGCCUAAACCUGCCAGGAAAGGGCACAUUUAGUGGAAUGGAACUAGAAAAAAUCGAAUUUGGACUUACCUUGGUGGUUUGGGACGGCUUAAGAGGGCUAGAUGGUGGUGGCAAGGAUUGUUCAUCCUUGGCCGUGAGUUUUGGUCCCUGUGCUUCCUCUUGUAGCAACUUUUCAUCCUCAUCGUGACUUGAUUUGGAUGAUUUUGGUUUGGCUCCAACCUGUGUACCACUUCUCAACAUGAUUGCAUUGACGGUUUCAAAGCCUCCUUUUGGAUUUGCAAUGGUUGAGCUAGGCAACUUGCCUUGCUCUCGAAACUGCCCCAUGAACUCGACAAUUUGCCCUACUUGUUUCUCCAACUCGUCCACCUUUUUGUCCCUAUUUUGCAUUCCCUGCGCCAUAGAAGUUAGUAAAUUAAAAAUUUGAUCAUUAUCAAUAGACGAACCUGAUUUUUGGGCAGGUUGUGCUUGGGGUUGAGUUGGUGCAAACGGCUUUUGAUAAAAACCCGGGGGUUGUUGCCUCAAUCCGCUUUGUUGUUGGCCUUGUUGGGGUUCUCGCCAUUUGAAAUUUGGAUGAUCACGCCAACCGGGAUUGUAAGUAUUGGAAAAGGGGUCAUUCCUUGGUUGGUAUUGGUUGCCAAAUCCCACGGCAUUGAGGGUCUCCCACCCUCCAUUUUCUAUCAACUGUGGGCACUUGUCCGUAAGGUGGCCUUGCAUGGAACACACGCCACAAGCUGCCACGUUUUGCACUUUUGGACCUUCCACUACCUGAGAAAGCAAAGUAGUAAGGUUAGCCAUUUGAUUUUGAAGUUCGGUUAUGGCACUUACCUCAUUGACUUGAUGUGGUCGUGGGUUACUCCUUUGUCCAACGCCUUCGUAUUGUUGAGCAUUCAACGCACGGUUGGAAAUUAAAGUCUUUGCUGCCGUGGGGGUCUUGUCCACCAAAGCUCCUCCCGCCGAGGCAUCUAGCAUUUGACGUUCGAUAGGUAGUAGCCCCUCGUAGAAGUAUUGCAAAAGAAGUUCCUCCUUCAUCUGAUGCUGUGGACAAGAAGCAACAAGAGAUUUAAAACGUUCAUAAUAAGUAGGAAAAGAUUCACCUUCCUCUUGUUGAAUUCCACUUAUCCUUUUCCGUAGGAGGAUGACUCGAGAAGUUGGGAAAAACAUCUCCAAGAAAGCCCGUUUCAUGCUUUCCCAUGAUGUGACGGUUUCGGGCGCCAAUUCGUACAACCAAUCCUUCGCCUUUUCCAAGAGAGAGAAAGGGAAGGCUUUCAUCUUCAAAAUACUCCCAUCGACAUUGACAGGGGUCAUGCUCGAACACACCACCUCGAAUUCUUUCAAGUGUUUGUUAGGAUCUUCCAUGGACAACCCAUGGUACUUCGGAAUGUGGUGUAACAAGCUUGACUUCAAUUCAAAUUCUUCUGUCUUUCCUCGGGCUGCUGCGGGGUAUUGGAUGCAUAGAGGUGCGGCAUUGUCCAAUCCCGAAGCUGAAAGUUCUUUGAUUGUUCGAUUGUCCACCUCCAUGUUUUUUUCUGCCUCCUCCUUUUCUUCAAAUUCGGAUUCAGAACUAGAACUAGGUGGAUUAGGUUCUGGUACUUUCCUUUUCCUUCUCAAAGUUCGUUCAAAAUUGUCGUCAAACUCCGAUAUAUGUGCACAAACUGGUUGAGAACUACGAGUCAUAAACUAGUACCUGAAAUAAACAAAAUAAAAUUAAAACUAAAAUUAAAACACACAAAAAAGAAAUAAAAAGAAACAAUGGGGAUUUAGCAAAGUUGCUAAUCCCCGGCAACGGCGCCAAAAUUUGAUGCGAAUAUUACUUGACACACAAAUUAAACCCUCUUUUGACAAUUGUAGCAAAGUAUGUAAGUAGGGAUCGUUCUAAACCGGGGAUUAGGAGGGCUUGCUAAAACCUCUAAACUGACUCAAAAACAAAAAGAAACAAAGUUAAAAAUGUAAACAAAAGAUUUUAAAACAAGAAAGUAAAAGGGGGAUUUGAGUUUGGUGAAGUUGAAAGUAAAAACGAAUAAACUAAAAACUUAAAUAGAUUUUAAACAAAUUUGGGUUGAAUGGAUAAUGGAAGGCUAGCUAAGGGUUUCAUCUCCACACAUGUUAUACUUGCAUACAAAACGAUUUCCAAUUGCAUUUCAAUAAACCAUGAAUUCUCAACGCCCCAAGUUAAUUAGGUCCGCUUAAAUUAACCUUCAGAUUUUCCUAACGUUAUUGAAUUGGAUGAUUGCAUACGACAACCCAAAACAUUCCCCACAAGUCCCCUACAUGAUUGCAUAAUAGAGAUACAAGCAAGAAUCAUUAAAUUCUAUGAAAACCAUAAGCAUUAACGAAGCACUUGUUACUAUGAUUGCAUGAAACUUAUGCCAAGAAUUUACUUAACGCGAUUGAGAUCAUCAACCUUUACUACUUGUGAAUAUAAUUCCAUAACGAUUAGGUGAAAUUUCCUUAUAUCCUAGCAUUCAAUUUAUGCAUGAUAAUUAAGCGUGCACUCUCAACCAACACACACAAAUCAAUGUAAUUCACAUAGAUAAGUAAAUUGAAUUCACAACUUAUGAAACGCAAUUAGAAGUAAUCAAAUCGUAACGCAAGCAUAAACAUGUAUUUCGAAUCCCCCCUAGCCAAGGGGGGGUUUAGUUCCUCAUUAUUACAAAACAAAGAUAAACAAAUUUAAACAUUGAAAAACAAAGGGAAGAAAGCACCUAAACGUUCCACCGAUCCAUGUUGGAUAGCAAGCGCGUCCAAGGACUUUUCUCCUUCUCCUUGCCGCAACAA